CAAGGGCAUUAGGGGACCAUGAGGUAAAGGCUCAGAACACUGAGGAGCAGGUCCAUCUACUCCCCCACAGCUCAGCUCCUGAUCCAUAACAUGGGGCUCUUCCCUUGGGAUGGGUAUUCAUGCGGUACGCUUACAGGCUGCAAGACACUCAGCAACUUUGAGGAUCAGGGACAUACAAUGUAAACAUCUGCAGCUCUCCCUUUACAAUCAGGGAAAAGAAGUGGCCAGCUGAGGGCAGGAUUCAUCCAGCCUAGUUGAGAUGCCUAUUUCAGGAAGAGCUGCAUUGUUAUUUCCGUCCACUGAGCAUCAAAGAGGAGCAGCUCCAAUGUGAGUAUCUCAGUGGUUUAGGAGAGUCCAUCUCCCCCCUCCCCAAACGGGAAGCGAUGCUUCAGUGGGACCUUUUCUUUUUUUAGCUAAAUACCUAUUAACAAUUACCAAAAGUUGACUAUACCCAAGUACUAAGGCAUUUGUGGAAGUGGACAGGUGAAAUAUUUACCAUUGCUCAUUCUUUGUGUGAGAAAGAGGAAGCUCUUUAUGCCCAGUAUCUAGCACUUCAUUUCUACAUUUGUCACAUUCAGUGGGGAUUGCUGGGGUAAAGCAGAAGUAGGAGUCUUGGUUUUCUCAUAACACAUAUAAGUUUGGGUAUACCAGAAAAGCAAUCAAAUUUGGAAGAGCCUGUUCAGUCCUGCAGGAAGGAGGGGUAUAGGAAGCACAUCAUAACUGACCCAUCUUUGACAUUUCACCCAACAACAUACACAAUGCAUUUUCAUGGGAACGUUACAAAGUCAACCACUAAAUGGAAAUGUUUUGUCUUAAAGUGCAGAAGAGCUAUGAAAUUCUCUCUGGGGAAUCUGUCUGCUCAUAGCUGCUUUGGGCUGUUUAAGGCACACUCUUCUAGAAAAGAAUAACAUUCUUUUUCAGGGCAAUACAAAUUAUAAUGAGAGAAAUAAACAAAAAUGAAAUGCAAUUUUUUUUUUUUUUUUUUGGACUGGGGAUUUCUUCUUCCAGUCAUUCUCCAUUGCAGAAUAUUCUUUAUGUCCUUCAUCAGUCUUGUACUUGGUUACAGAUGGAAAAUAUUAGCUCUGGUUUACAAAACAUGGCCCCGUUUCCUGUAACACGGCACAGGUUGGACAAAUCUGUCAUUUGAGUAGUGUGUCUAUUCUGUGGCCAAUUCUGUAAUCUACAAGCAAUGUAAUCCUAAACAAGGAAUCUCAUGUUAGCAGCCAAGAUUGGAAAAUCCCUGGUUUAAGUGCAAUUGCUGCCAACACUUGCUAAGGACAAACUAAUUUUCAAUCUGCAGUUUGGGGGCUGUCUCUUUUCCUUUUUAGCUCUUUUUUUUUAAUAAAUAAAACAUACCUAACUUUCUAAGAUGACACAAAUGCACACUUGAUUUUAAAAAGUGGAAAACAGAUUUAGAAAAAAAGUUUAAGGUUAUGAAAAAUAUCACACUGUCUAUAAAAAAGAUUAUUCUAUUUUUUAAUACAAUUUGAACAAAUGUCAUUUUGCAAAUUUGAAGAGUUGUAUUUCAGAACAAACAGCAACAAGAUUGUUGUGUACAAAUAAGAGGAGAAGAGCAAGGGAGAAAGACAAGGGGGGGCGUGUUAUAGAAGACAGAUAGGAAGAUUGAGGAUGAUCUAGAUACAGCUUUAAAUGAGAACUUGACCUCAGUUUUCAAGAUGGAUCAGGGCGGUAUAAAUAAUGGCAAUGAGGAUAUGAGAUGAUGACAACUAAGACAGAAGCAAAACUCAAGAAAUUUAAUAUAUCCAGAUUGGCAGACACAGAAGUGAAAGAAAGGCAGAAGAAGCUACAGUAAGUAGUUAUGGUAAGUUUUCCAGGUCACAGAUGCUUCCAGCUGAUCAGAAAGAAUACAGUACAAGAAUAUAGUGCUGAUAUUUAAAGACAGAGCUCAGAGAAAUUACUCCAAAGAAUUAGAUUUACAUAUUUAAUGCUUUUGAAGAAAUCUUGAAAGGAAGGAGAGAGAAGGUUGAUGAGACAAAGGGGAAAGCGAGUGUAUAACAUAGACCAACUUGCCAAGUAUUGUGUGUACCCUAUUAAAUUACUUUUUUCUUCUAGAAUACUUAUCAAAGAAAGCUGAUGUAAGAGAUCGCUCAUGUUUGGACAUUAAUAAACCAUUUGACAUGGUGACACAGGAGAAACAUUACUCAAAAGAAGAUUAAAGAUUAGCAGAGAAACUAUAAAUUGCAGGAGAAGUUGAGCCAAGACAAAACGGAAAUUAGUGUUUUUGAGAAGUGAAGUUAUCAGGUUGGAGAAAAAUUACUAGCAGAAAUUGUCAAGAACAGCUAUGGGACAGAUCUUUAAGUAUUUUCAUUCACUAUCUUGAGACAAAAAUACAAAAUCUUUCAAUGAAUUAAGUUGAAAAGCAUUGCCAGCAGAAAGGAAUUUGGGGGCUGCUGUAUAUAAGGAACUGCCUAAACUUAAGAAAAAAAUGCAAGUGAGGGUGACCUUUCCAUAACGUAAAACGCAAUGUUAAAUGCACGAGACUAAUUGUAAGGGUUUAUUUUUACAAUCUGAUAGCUCAUUAAAAGCUGCAAAGGACUGAGAAGCAGUUGUGUGCCUGAGCUGGUCCUGCAAUAACUAUGAGCAUCAACGUGAUGCACCUACCAAAACAGUGAAUACGAUCUUACACUAUAUCACAAGAGGAGUCCUCGGCAGACACAAGGAAGUAUUCAUGCCGCUACGCAAGUGUCAACAGUAUCUCCUUCAGUAUAUUGGAAAUUUGAGUCUGUACACAUUACAGCAUCUCACACUUUGCCAGCCUACUGAUCUCAGGGGGUUGAUGGCUCAUCUUAGGAGGUGGACCAUCAAAUAGGAGGAGGAGGUUGCACUGUCAGAGCAAUCAAUGUCUGCAGUGGUUUCUCACUGAGACAUGUGUGAGCAAGAUUCAAGGCUCUAAGGGUGAGUUUGGUAAGGUUAGGACAGGGACUGCCCCAUGUUUCCCAUGACAGAGGGCUGUACAGGACAGGAACAGGAAUCCCAAUUUUCAAUGUGUUACUGACAUGGCAUCCUCUGAGCAUUUCAGUCAAGGUGCAAUUGUCAAUGUCUGCCCAGAAGGUCUGCCAGAAGGUCACCCUGGUCCUGCUCAGUUGGAUAAUGCAACACCCAUAAAGCUCAGUUUGAAUUCCCCAAGCUGCCUCAAUUCAUGACAUUUUUAUCUCUUAAAUAAAAAUAAGCCCAGUACACUUAAUUACACUGAAGAAAUCCCUUUUAGCAAAAAUACACGGCAAGCGUUGGACUCAGCUGUGCUAUCUCCCAGCACCUCUCUGCAUCUAUCGCCCUUCAUCUCUGUUGUGGCACAGCCUCGUCCAGACCAGUUCCCUCUGGGAAACACCAGUCCUGAAAGCUGGUGUGUGGGAGAUGGGUAUGGGAGUCUUGGGAAAAAUUUCCUGGCCUCCUAAAGAGCUUCUCUCAUCCCAUGGAUCUUCUCUAGCAGAGUGCAGGAGCUAAUAAUAUCCCUCUGCUUCUGUUAUAUAGCAUUUCCUCCUCUUUAUUUUAACUUUUACUGGUUGCAUUACCAGCUGCUCCUUUGCCUCUGCCACAUGACCAAGUGUCAAAAGAAGACAUAAAUCAGCUUAUGAUAUUCAUUGAAUGGUGAAAUUGGCACUUUCUCCCCUUCUGAAGGACUAGAAUUUUAAAUGCAGCUUCUAAAUAUACUUCAAGAUUUGAUAAUUUUAGUUAACAUUAAAAAGAUUUUUUAGAGACAACACAAAUCCAGCUUUCCUUGGAGAAAGCAUGUACUAUGAUUUCCUCAAGAGAGUCACAGCCACCAGUCGGCACGAGCAGGACAAACCCACAGAUCCCGACCGGGGAUCCACUGGGGACCACAGCCCCGGCCACAACAGGCAAAACCCUUCCCCAGCACUGUUGCACUCAUGAAGACAAGCUCUUUGGGGAGCUGGAGCUAAAGAAUAGGAUGGGCACAGGCAUACUGGGACCAAAACCCCGAGACAAAUCCUCCAUGUAUCUCACGUAUCUCACCCUGACAUCCCCACCCUUUUUUUUUUUUUUUUUUUUUUUUUUUAAGAGACAAAAACCAGCACAGCUCUCAGAUAUGGGAAGCAACCUCCUGUGUCCAGUGCAUCCCUGUCUGACCACGAAGACUGGAGCCAAGAAGCCUCAAGAAGAGACAACAACCGUCAGGGAAACGAGGAACUUCCAAACAACUCUAUUGUGAUCUGCUGUAUGUUUUUCUUUCAAGACUAUUUCUAAUAAAACACAUAAAGUAUCAAUA